rnacentral:rRNA from 1 species
UACAGAGGGUGCGAGCGUUAAUCGGAUUUACUGGGCGUAAAGCGCGCGUAGGUGGUUCGGUAAGAUGGAAGUGAAAGCCCCGGGCUCAACCUGGGAACUGCUUUCAUAACUGCCGAGCUAGAGUACGGUAGAGGGUAGUGGAAUUUCCUGUGUAGCGGUGAAAUGCGUAGAUAUAGGAAGGAACACCAGUGGCGAAGGCGACUACCUGGACUGAUACUGACACUGAGGUGCGAAAGCGUGGGGAGCAAACAGG